UGGGGAAUAUUGCACAAUGGGCGCAAGCCUGAUGCAGCCAUGCCGCGUGUGUGAAGAAGGCCUUCGGGUUGUAAAGCACUUUCAGCGAGGAGGAAGGCGUUAAGGUUAAUAACCUUGGCGAUUGACGUUACUCGCAGAAGAAGCACCGGCUAACUCCGUGCCAGCAGCCGCGGUAAUACGGAGGGUGCAAGCGUUAAUCGGAAUUACUGGGCGUAAAGCGCACGCAGGCGGUUUGUUAAGUCAGAUGUGAAAUCCCCGAGCUUAACUUGGGAACUGCAUUUGAAACUGGCAAGCUAGAGUCUUGUAGAGGGGGGUAGAAUUCCAGGUGUAGCGGUGAAAUGCGUAGAGAUCUGGAGGAAUACCGGUGGCGAAGGCGGCCCCCCUGGACAAAGACUGACGCUCAGGUGCGAAAGCGUGGGGCAGCAAACAGGAUUAGAUACCCUGGUAGUCCAGCGCUGUAAAACGAUGUCGAUUUGGAGGUUGUGGGCUUGACCCGU
rnacentral:rRNA from 1 species